CCUACGGGUGGCAGCAGUGAGGAAUAUUGGUCAAUGGGCGAGAGCCUGAACCAGCCAAGUCGCGUGAAGGAUGACGGCCCUACGGGUUGUAAACUUCUUUUGUCAGGGAGCAAUUGAGUCCACGUGUGGUCUUAGCGAGAUUACCUGCAGAAAAAGCAUCGGCUAACUCCGUGCCAGCAGCCGCGGUAAUACGGAGGAUGCGAGGGUUAUCAGGAUUUAUUGGGUUGAAAGGGGUCGUAGGCGGAAUAUCAAGUCAGCGGUAAAAAUUCGGGGCUCAAUCCCGUCGUGCCGUUGAGACUGAUGUUCUUGAGUGGGCGAGAGGUAUGCGGAAUGCGUGGUGUAGCGGUGAAAUGCAUAGAGAUCACGCAGAACUCCGAUUGCGAAGGCAGCAUACCGGCGCCCAACUGACGCUGAAGCACGAAAGCGUGGGUAUCGAACAGGAUUAGAUACCCCAGUAGUC
rnacentral:rRNA from 1 species